rnacentral:rRNA from 1 species
CCUACGGGAGGCAGCAGUAAGGAAUAUUGGUCAAUGGACGAAAGUCUGAACCAGCCAUGCCGCGUGAAGGAUGAAGGCCCUCUGGGUUGUAAACUUCUUUUAUCUAUGAAUAAACGCCCGAUUUCUAUUGGGUUUGAAGGUAAUAGAUGAAUAAGCACCGGCUAACUCCGUGCCAGCAGCCGCGGUAAUACGGAGGGUGCAAGCGUUAUCCGGAUUUACUGGGUUUAAAGGGUGCGUAGGCGGAUUGAUAAGUCAGCGGUGAAAUACUCUCGCUUAACGAGGGAACUGCCGUUGAUACUAUUAAUCUUGAAUACGGUUGAGGCGGAUAGAAUGUGUCAUGUAGCGGUGAAAUGCUUAGAUAUGACACAGAAUACCAAUUGCGAAGGCAGUUCGCUAAGCCGUUAUUGACGCUGAGGCACGAAAGCGUGGGGAUCAAACAGGAUUAGAUACCCUGGUAGUCCACGCCCUAAACUAUGAUUACUCGACAUACGCGAUACACUGUGUGUGUCUGAGCGAAAGCAUUAAGUAAUCCACCUGGGAAGUACGACCGCAAGGUUGAAACUCAAAGGAAUUGACGG